GCCAGCAUGGGGCAAUGGUUUGAGUGUUGGACUACCAUUCUGGAGACCAGGGUUCGAUUCCCUGCUCAGCCA